CUACUAAAUCCGCUUUAUCGCUCAAAGAAAUUUGAGAGGAAAGUCCGGACAGCGCAGAGUAACCUACCGGCUAAUUACCGGCUUUUAAAGUUCUUUUAAAAAGAGAUAGUGCCACAGAAAAUAACAGCCUUCUGGCAAUGGUGAAAAUGUGUGGUAAAAGCACACGUCCGCAUUAGGUAACUAAUUCGGAGGGUAAACCUUAGGUGCUGCAAUGCCAAAUAUAGAAACGUUGACACCUACUCGGUGGAGUUUCGGGGUAGGCAGAAAAGAAUUUAACAGUAAUGUUAAAUCAAGACAAAUGAUAAAGUUGAAACAGAAUCCGGCUUAUGAGAUUUAGUAGUAUU
rnacentral:RNase_P_RNA from 1 species